UGAGGAAUAUUGGGCAAUGCCCGCAAGGGUGACCCAGCAACGCCGCGUGGAGGAUGAAGGCCGUAAGGUUGUAAACUCCUGUUAGAGGAGAAGAAUAGUAUCGAUUGGAUCGAUAUUUGACUGUACCCUCAGAGAAAGCCCCGGCUAACUACGUGCCAGCAGCCGCGGUAAUACGUAGGGGGCAAGCGUUGUCCGGAUUUACUGGGUGUAAAGGGCGCGCAGGCGGGAUAGCAAGUCAGAGGUGAAAUCCUACAGCUUAACUGUAGAACUGCCUUUGAUACUGUUAUUCUUGAGUUCGGGAGAGAGAGACGGAAUUCCAGGUGUAGUGGUGAAAUACGUAGAUAUCCGGAAGAACACCAGUUGCGAAGGCGGUCUCUUGGUCCGAUACUGACGCUGAGGCGCGAAAGCGUGGGGAGCAAACAGG
rnacentral:rRNA from 1 species